rnacentral:lncRNA from 1 species
CAACCAGUGUUUUGGUAUAAAAUGCCUAUCUUGUUUUCAAAACUCAAUCAAGACAGUCAUUAAGCCACACGAUAUACUAAAAUGGUAAGUUUUCCUGUAUGGUCUGUUUCUGUUUAAGAAACACAAAAUAAAACAACAAUAAAUAAUACACUGUCCACCAAAAAACUUACACACUUUACAGUAUUGCUGACAAUGAUGACCAGAAAUUAAAUAGAGAACGACAUUCUUUUCCUCUCUCAGUGGCAAUUUAAUAGUUAUUCAUGUUUGAGUUCCCAGAGAAGAAUGAUUUCAUGUAUAGUAAAUUGUAACUGUUUUGUUUUAAAGCCAGGACUUGCCAAAUGGACAGAAAAGAGGAAUUUGUCAGAAGCUCCAUGAAAUUCAUUUUCUUUAUGCGUAGUUGCAGAAUUUUUUCAGGUUAGUGUUUUGAUUAACAGAAGAAGCAUAACUUAAGCCAAGAAAGAUGAAGAAAGACUGGACUGGAAAAAAAGGCCGGAGUCAUGGUUGGCAAGAAUGUGAGGAACCCCUGAAGAGUUCAUUACCGAGUGAAUGCUCACAGGAGGAACUUCAGAAAUAGCCAGUUUUGCUCCAGUGUGAUAAAUGAGGAGAAACGGAAUUGCAAUGUCAUCUGUGUUGAGUCUUGCUGACCGCUAACACCUCCUUUGGAGGCAGACGCUCACCAGCGCUAACAUCGGCCCUGCCCCAGGCAGUUAGAAAUUUGUGCUCCAGUCCUUGGGUUCACACUUGCACCCUGUUUGACAUAAAUACUUUAAAUGACAUACAAUGUAUGUAGUUUUGUGCUUAUUACUUUUUAAAAGAAUAAAUAAUAUUAAAAACUGCA